UACGAAGGGGGGCUAGCGUUGUUCGGAAUUACUGGGCGUAAAGCGCGCGUAGGCGGUUUUGCAAGCCAGAGGUGAAAUGCCUGAGCUCAACUUAGGAAUUGCCUUUUAGACUGCAUCGCUUGAAUCAUGGAGAGGUCAGUGGAAUUCCGAGUGUAGAGGUGAAAUUCGUAGAUAUUCGGAAGAACACCAGUGGCGAAGGCGGCUGACUGGACAUGUAUUGACGCUGAGGUGCGAAAGCGUGGGUAGCAAACAGG
rnacentral:rRNA from 1 species